rnacentral:rRNA from 1 species
UACGAAGGGGGCUAGCGUUGCUCGGAAUCACUGGGCGUAAAGCGCGUGUAGGCGGCCCGGUAAGUCCGCUGUGAAAGUCGGGGGCUCAACCCUCGAAUGCCGGUGGAUACUGUCGGGCUAGAGUGCGGAAGAGGCGAGUGGAAUUCCUAGUGUAGCGGUGAAAUGCGCAGAUAUCAGGAGGAACACCAAUUGCGAAGGCAGCUCGCUGGGACGUGACUGACGCUGAGACGCGAAAGCGUGGGGAGCAAACAGG